GACUACAGCUUGGACAACUCAGCCGGAUGGACCCAUCAAAUUCAGCUUGCCAGCCCGGUUAGGAUUAGACUGCAUUGUUUGCGCCUUGCCCUGAGGUUGGCACCUAUCCCCCUAUCCUGUUGAUUUCCAUCCCUACUCCUUCCACUUCCCUAGUGCUCUUGGCCCCUGUUAUGAGACGACUAGCCUGUCAUCCUACCCCUAUGAAAACCUCCUUCCCAGGUGGACACCAUUAAUGUGCAGGCAAUGUAGUGGAGGGAGAACAAUAUUCUAAGAGUAGGAAAAUGUGAGCUAGACCCAGUUCUGCUAGUAAUUAGCUCCAUGGCCUUGGUCAAGUUGUGUAACUUCUCUGGGUCUCAUUUUCCUUUCUGAUAAAAUGAAGGCCCCCAUCACUACUUUCAAGUAAGGCCUUUACCAAGUCAUCCAAGUUGUUCCAGUAAGUUGCACAUCUGACAACGGCCCAUCCCUUACCACCUCCUCUAAAUAUGUUUUCUGAGAUAUUUCAGAAAAUAAGAUUUUAGAAGGAAAGCUGUAUUAGUUGCACAAACCUACUUCAGUGACAGGCUAGGAUUGAACAUUAAAAUUUGAAAGAAGACAUGAAUUCCCUUAUUAAUGCUGCUUAGGGGAAGAAGAGGCUGAAGGAAGGCAGCUUCUAUAAAAAUCAAUGGUGAACUGGAAUUUAUCACCUCUGUGUGAGUCUGACCUCUCAGGACUUUUUCUCUAGAAUCCCAGGAUCCUAAGUAAUGAAUAAUGAAUCUAAACAUGCCUUCCAUGACCUUGAGGAUAUGCAAACAUGAAAUUUUGAAAAAAGAAUAAAAGAAAGAAGAAAAAUUCUG
rnacentral:lncRNA from 10 species